rnacentral:rRNA from 1 species
GAUGAACGCUGGCGGCGUGCCUAAUACAUGCAAGUCGAGCGAACAGACGAGGAGCUUGCUCCUCUGACGUUAGCGGCGGACGGGUGAGUAACACGUGGAUAACCUACCUAUAAGACUGGGAUAACUUCGGGAAACCGGAGCUAAUACCGGAUAAUAUAUUGAACCGCAUGGGUCAAUAGUGAAAGACGGUUUUGCUGUCACUUAUAGAUGGAUCCGCGCCGCAUUAGCUAGUUGGUAAGGUAACGGCUUACCAAGGCAACGAUGCGUAGCCGACCUGAGAGCGACAUGGGCCAGCCUGGGACAUAGACACGGUACAGACCCCUACCGGACGCAGCAGCGCGGAAUGUUCCGGAGAGGACGAAAGCAUUACAGAGUAUAGUAGAGGGAGUGAUGAAGGUCGUAGUAUCGUAAAACCCUCUUAUCAGUGAAGAACAAAAGUGCAAGUACAUCUGCACUGCUUGACGCUACGUAAUCAGAAAGCCGCGGCUAACUACGUG